ensembl:lncRNA
GUGAGUAUAGAAAGAAAACUACACAUACAUUAUGUCGGUGGGUUUUGUGUUGGUAUGGAGGCUUUUGUCAUACUUCACUCGAAAUUCUAAAACCUUUUGGUGAUUGCAAGCGAGGAAACCUGAGUAUAUGCACAUUACAUAAACAUCAAGUGCUGUAUUUGCUGCAUUACAUGGCAGAAGUCAGCAGAAACUAUAGUCAAACAAAAUGAGCAAAAAAAACAAAAAAAAACCCAGCCCAAACCAAUCCAGUUCACUAAACGUUGCCAACAGUAAAUGCAGCCAACAUAAUUUAGCUCAUCAGUGACGAGCAGUAGAAAGUGAUGGAGUGGAGGUGAGCUGAAGGAAAGGGAUUUACAAUAUUUUGAUAGUCGGGGGGGGAGGGUUGCAGGCGAGGCUUUUCAACACUUCCAAUUUUACCUCCGAGUGGAACGAGGUUGCUGAUUCUGCAGUUUUUCUCGGACUAAAUUGCCUUGGCGACAGCAGAGGCCAAAAGCUGAAGAAAUAUAUGAGUGCUGGAAAAGAAAAAACCGAGUGGGUGCAGCUGAGCAUUAUCUGGAAUAUCGCUUUGCCUGGCAGGAUUCUGAAAGGAGAGGAGGAAGAGAGAAACAGAGAGAAAAGAGCAAAGGAGAGCUUCUCCUGGGAACAAGCUGGAAAUUAUGGACCUAUUCGAUAUCAGACCUCAGAGUGGACAACCUAUCCUAAGAGGGACGCGCCCUAACUGUAACUAACAACUACUUCUGGCAGCCCUUCAACAACCAGACAUAUUGUCCUGGAUCAGGGCCGUUUUCGAAAAGGCAGCAAUGAGCAAGGGCAGCCUAGGCAAGAAAUCAACAUCGACCUUCAGCCUCAUUAAUAUCAAUUAAUACUUUUUUUCUCUAAUAAAAAUACAGAAUUUUAAACUAUGAUCCCAAUGAGACGUUAAUUAUCAAAUGUAGCAUGUUAAGGUGAUACAUGCUAUAAAAAAGAAGGAUUUCCACACUAAAGUGGGGCAGCAUUAAGGGGUCAACACAGCACUUUAAAAAAAAUUUUUUUUUUUAAAUAUAUAAUGCGUGAGUUAAUUAUUUCACCUACUGUUUUAGUACUGAUAUAUUAAAAGCUCAAAAUCCAACACAAAUGCAAUGUUGCGUUACUUUGUACUGUGUAGGUCUGAAGAUCUGCAUUUAAAGUGUGAAUGCAACAAAACUGCCUUAUGGUGGAAACGAGCACAAGCAGGGUUUGAAUGAGUGUAACAAUGUAAUAAAUAUUCAAUUAAAAAAUAUUUUUGACUGAGUAUAA